UACGAAGGGAGCUAGCGUUGUUCGGAAUUACUGGGCGUAAAGCGCAUGCAGGCGGAUCGUUAAGUCGGGGGUGAAAUCCCGAGGCUCAACCUCGGAACUGCCUUCGAUACUGGCGAUCUUGAGUCCGGGAGAGGUGAGUGGAACUGCGAGUGUAGAGGUGAAAUUCGUAGAUAUUCGGAGGAACACCAGUGGCGAAGGCGGCUCACUGGCUCGGUACUGACGCUGAGGUGCGAAAGCGUGGGGAGCAAACAGG
rnacentral:rRNA from 1 species